GUCUUGCAGUGCACGCUGCACAGCUUGCACAGGAUGCGGUCAGCCCGCGGGGCCUGGAGCCCAUGGUCCUUCACCGCGUGGAUGCGCAGGAACUGGAGACAAGAACUUGUGGCUGCACAGCGGAAACCUCACCUCUGACCCUUACGGACUGGCUCUUGACCACUCCUUUCCCAAAGGAUGCGUGUCCCACCUGUUCUCCCCACAGACACCUAGGAGAUUGACUCCCAGAGGGCUCUAGACGCCACGAGCUCUUGGCUACCAGCACCCUUAACGCACACCUGUGGAAAGGCCACCAGCCGUGCCCCCAUCCCGAGCCCUCCCGGCACCCCUCAGC